AGCAUAUCAAUAAGCGGAGGAAAAGAAACUAACAAGGAUUCCCCUAGUAGCGGCGAGUGAAGCGGGAACAGCUCAAAUUUUAAAUCUGACUGCUUCGCAGUUCGAGUUGUAGUUUGAAGGAGUCUGUCGCCAGUGCGACGAUGACACAAGUCCUCUGGAACGUGGCAUCGUAGAGGGUGAGAAUCCCGUCUCUGGCCGUUGUUGCGCGGGCAUACGGCAGGCAUCCGAAGAGUCGAGUUGUUUGGGAUUGCAGCUCCAAAUGGGUGGUAAACUCCAUCUAAGGCUAAAUAUUGGCGAGAGACCGAUAGCGAACAAGUACCGUGAGGGAAAGAUGAAAAGAACUUUGAAAAGAGAGUAAAACAGUACGUGAAAUUGUUGAAAGGGAAACGCUUGAAGUCAGUCGUGCCGGCGGAGAUUCAGCUCGCUUCGCGGAGUUGGGCGCAUUUCUUCGCAUGGCAGGUCAGCGUCAGUUUCGCGCGUCGUGAAAGGGCUCGGGUAAGGUGACUCUCUCCGGGGAGUGUUAUAGACCUGAGCAGAUGCGCUGCGCGGGACUGAGGAUUGCAGCGGACACCCUUCGGGGCGUGGCGACCGACCCCUGCUUCAUCACCCUUGUCCGAUAGCGUGCUAACGGGCCGGGGAGCGGUGGGUGCACCGGGUUGGCAAGCCGGCGGUUUCGCUAAGGACGCUGACGUAAUGGCUUUAAACGAC
rnacentral:rRNA from 1 species